CCGCCGGCUCCAUCCCGCACGCCGACCGGCGUCUCCACCAGCUCAUGUAUGCCAGCGGCGACCAGGAGCGCGCAUUCCCAGCUCCCUCGGUGUCUGUCAAGAGCUAGGCCGAGCGCGGGUACUCGGUGUUCAACGUCCAUUCCACAAUCAUCUCUUGUACAGUGGCUGAGGAAGAUCCAGGAAAGAAAGAGCUGCGCAAGAGGGGGCAGGAUCAGGAAGAAGCACGGUGAUGGAACCUUAGCAGUAGACCAAAUGCAGACAUGUACAUAAGGGGAUCCGAUUACGAUUAGAUGAUGCAGACCGUGUCCUUGUCCAACAAAACUCAAUCGAGUGUUUGACCCGGAUUGUUCUUUUUUGCUAUAAGAAGGAAGAGUACUACGCUGGAAUCUCCAUCACGUUAAUUGUCGACGAAACAUCCAAUGUUUCCGCCGAGUUCGCAGCAGGAAGGAGCUCCGAGUUUGCCAAUGUCUGAUGCGGCGUCUACACCAGAGAUACGACAGUUAAGAGCGUCACGGGAGGAAGAAGCUCCGAGUUCGCCGGAGGUACACAAACAUCCGUCCAGCACUCCAAUGUCGCCUACGGCAUCUACACCAGAGCUCAUAGACUAUGUAGAAUAAAAUGAGGGCUAUGAUCCAGCCAACGUGCUCCUGCGCCACUCACGCACAGUCAUGAGUAUCAACAUUUGCUCUCCUGGUAGCAAAACGAAUAUCAUCAGAAGACUUAAAAAAUGGACUGCUUUGUGUUUCCAUCUUAUCCGCCAUAGACUAGCCAAAUUUGUCGCUGGAUGGGAUGUUUCCACUCAGAGUAAGAGUAUACGAGACAAUAAAACGGAGCGAUAUCUCUGGCGAUUUUCUUGCUCCCUAUCGGUAAACAAAUCAGAUGGAAGCAAUCAUGUUUAUGUAGGGAAGAUAAUCGCGGAGAUUGCCCUAUGUAGGGAAGAUAAUCGCCGAGAUUGCAGGGCAGUUAAGGCCGCGUGUCACAUGCAGGAAGAAAUUCCCGAGUUCAGCGGAAGGGAAGUAUAAAUAAUAAAGCAAGGCUGCUCGCACUACCCCAUUGACGCCCUGCAUAGGUCUCUUUCUUCUCUCUCUGGCCGAUCCUUUGUGGGCACGUUCAUCAGUCGUGGAAGAGAACCUGUAUACGUUGGGGAAACGACGGCAGCCGGGACGGGCUCACCGGUGUAAAGCACCUCAAGGCCGUCCUCUCGGCGACGCUGCGCUACGGUCGCCGUUGCCUCUGCGCUCCACUCGCCAUGUCCGUCGCACCCGCCGAGAUGGAUCUGAAUGAGAUAAAAGAAAAUGCAUGUGCUAUUAAUUUUACUGAAAUGAAGGAAUACAUCAUGUCCUUCCCUAGCAAAACCAAGUUAGUGAAUAUCCAUGACACAACCUUGACACAUCGAGAUUUGGAAUGUCUUUUAGAAGAUGAGAUAUGGGUGGAGAGCGAGGUCAGCUAAAAUAUAUUCCGAUGAUCAUACUUACACACUUCAAGAAUGUCUAAUUUAUUUGUUACUUUUUCUACUAUAGGUCAUAAAUGCAU